GUGUGUGUAAUUUAAAAAAAAUACCAAGCUGUGACCUUGACAAUAGGAAACUCCUCGCACACC
rnacentral:tRNA from 2 species